AGUGAACGCUGGCGGUAGGCCUAACACAUGCAAGUCGAACGGCAGCACAGUAAGAGCUUGCUCUUACGGGUGGCGAGUGGCGGACGGGUGAGGAAUACAUCGGAAUCUACUUUUUCGUGGGGGAUAGCGUAGGGAAACUUACGCUAAUACCGCAUACGACCUACGGGUGAAAGCAGGGGAUCUUCGGACCUUGCGCGAUUGAAUGAGCCGAUGUCGGAUUAGCUAGUUGGCGGGGUAAAGGCCCACCAAGGCGACGAUCCGUAGCUGGUCUGAGAGGAUGAUCAGCCACACUGGAACUGAGACACGGUCCAGACUCCUACGGGAGGCAGCAGUGGGGAAUAUCGGACAAUGGGCGCAAGCCUGAUCCAGCCAUACCGCGUGGGUGAAGAAGGCCUUCGGGUUGUAAAGCCCUUUUGUUGGGAAAGAAAAGCAGCAGGUUAAUACCCCGCUGUUCUGACGGUACCCAAAGAAUAAGCACCGGCUAACUUCGUG
rnacentral:rRNA from 1 species